AGAGUUUGAUCCUGGCUCAGGAUUAAUGUUGGUAGUAUGCCUAACACAUGCAAGUCGAGCGAAAAGUAGCAAUAUUUUUAGCGGCGAACGGGUGAGUAAUGCUUGUCUAACCUGCCACUUAGUGGGGGAUAAAAUUCCGCAUAUUAUGAGUAAUCAUGAAAGGGCCUUUGGCUCGCUAAGUGAUGGGGAUAAGUCGUAUC
rnacentral:rRNA from 1 species